rnacentral:sRNA from 1 species
UGUAUGUCCAUAGUGGCAUGGGGCGGAUUAAUAUCUGCGCCCUCUUUUCAGUCUAACCUAACCUAUUCUUUCUGUUCUUCAAUUUCGAUAAUGCAGGAGUAUUCCACGGAGGACCAACUUUCAAAGGAACGAUGGAUGUGAAGGUCUAAAACUGGGUGAUAUUUAUCCCCUGGACGGAUAAUGGGGUCAAAAGGAAAAAGCAAUAUAUCGCGGGGAUGACUUUCGAAUAUGAGAUCAAGGAGUUUUCCACAUGAGUUAUAUACCUUAUUUAUUUACCACAGAUGCAUUUUGUAGUACUCUCAUUCAUUCCAUUGGGUAACAAAUCGUUAAUAUUAAGAUUCUCAAUCCAUCUCCAGAUAGAUUAAUAUAAAUGAAAUAUGUUUCAAGUACGUUUCAACACUUGAACCCGGAGUAAUGUAUGAACAGGUAAUAGAUAUGGAUGCAUAUCUAAGACGGAUCUUAACAGUGACAAUUUCAGUAUCAACCGGUAUGGGAAAGAAAAUUUCUUCAUUAGGUAAUUCAGAAGAAACAGCUAGCAAGACACCACCGCCUCUUCUUUUGGAACUAUCUACACGAUCACGUCUAAAUAUCUGAAACUUUUGUAUAUGUUAUAACAUUGUAACUAAAAUCGUAACUCUCAAUAUAUAAGGCUGAUAAUUUA